rnacentral:rRNA from 1 species
GAUGAACGCUAGCGGCAGGCCUAACACAUGCAAGUCGGGGGGUAGGGCAGCAAUGCCUGAGACCGGCGCACGGGUGCGUAACGCGUAUGCAAUCUACCUUCAACAGGGGGAUAGCCCAGAGAAAUUUGGAUUAAUACCCCAUAGUAUUAUCGAAUGGCAUCAUUUGAUUAUUAAGUUCCAACGGUAGAGGAUGAGCAUGCGUCCUAUUAGCUUGAUGGUAAGGUAACGGCUUACCAUGGCUACGAUAGGUAGGGGUCCUGAGAGGGAGAUCCCCCACACUGGUACUGAGACACGGACCAGACUCCUACGGGAGGCAGCAGUGAGGAAUAUUGGACAAUGGGCGCAAGCCUGAUCCAGCCAUGCCGCGUGCAGGAAGACGGUCCUAUGGAUUGUAAACUGCUUUUGUACGGGAAGAAACACUCCUACGUGUAGGAGCUUGACGGUACCGUAAGAAUAAGGAUCGGCUAACUCCGUGCCAGCCGCCGCGGUAAAAC